UUUUUUUUUUUUUUUUUUUUUUUUUUUGGCUUUUCAGAGAGUCUGACACGCAAAGAACACGAAGAAAGAGCA
rnacentral:ribozyme from 1 species